CAACUGGUAGAUUUAAAAAAUACUCUGAUCUUGUAGAUUAUUUAGGCAAAUUGUAGGGUUAGGAAAAUAUAUUUUGUGCGUAAAGGCUCAGUGAUUUGAGUGAUUCUGAAAAUUGCCACAUUCAGUUUGUUAACCCAUGGUAAUUUUGGAAGAUUAGUUUAUAUAGAAUUAUAAUAGGGAGACUAUUGUACAAUAGUAGGCUAUACACUCAUCUAUUGCCCGCACUAACCAUGGAACUGUGUGAUGACACAGCCAAGUAUUGCGCCAUGUGUCAGGUUCAAACUGUUAAGGCUUGGUCUGCGCUCUGCUUCAUAACAAUUUAAUUAGCCUUUUUAAAAUAAAUAUUAUUAACUGUUACAAAUGAUCCUCAGCAACAACCACAUGGCAGUGAUGGCGUUAACAGAGGAAGCAAAUGAAGGUAGGCUAGUUGAGAACAAGUUCUCAUUUACAACUGCGACCUGGCCAAGACAAAGCAAAGCAGUGUGACACAGACAACAACACAGAGUUACACAUGGAGUAAACAAUAAACAAGCCAAUAACACAAUAAACAUGACUGGUUUCACAUUUGUCUCCAGCUAUUAUAAGGUAAAAUAUAUCUAAAACAAGUGUAAUUUAUAUGUACAAUUCAUAGAAAUACCCCCAUUAUCCAUGCACUGUUGUUAUGUCACAGAUAUAUGGCAUUUCAAGAAGCUGAUAAAACAGCAUGAUCAUUACACAGGUGCACCUUGUGCUGGGGACAAUAAAAGGCCACUCUAAAAUGUGCAGUUUUGUCACACAACACAACGCCACACAUGUCUCAAGUUUUGCGGGAGUGUGCAAUUGGAAUGCUGACUGCAGGAAUGUCCACCAGAGCUGUUGACCCCAAAAAUGUUUUAUGUUCAUUACUCUACCAUAAGCCGCCUCAAACGUUGUUUUAGAGAAUUUGGCAGUAUGUCCAACCGGCCUCACAACCGCAGACUACGUGUAACCACUCCAACUCAGGACCUCCACAUCUGGCUUCUUCACCUGCGGGAUUGUCAGAGACCAGCCACCCGAAAAGCUGAUUAAACUGUGGGUUUGUACAACCAAAUAAUUUCUAUCAGAAACAGCCUGAGCCUCCAGCGACGUCCCCCAGUCCAGAGUCUUCAGCGACGGUCCGCUGUCCGGAGUCUUCAGCGACGGUCCGCUGUCCGGAGUCUUCAGCGGCGUUUCGCAGUCCGGAGUCUCCAGCGGCGGUCCGCAGUCCGGAGUCUCCAGCGGCGGUCCGCAGUCCGGAGUCUCCAGCGGCGGUCCGCAGUCCAGAGUCUCCAGCGGGGCUUUCAUGUUCAGAGCCUCCGGCGAUGAUUCAUGGUCCAGUUCCUCCGGCGAUGAUCCAUGGUCUGGUUAAACAAAAGCGGAGGGAUCAGCGGGCGGAGUGGGGGCUACGCCCCGAACCGGAGCCGCCUCCAAGGAUAGAUGCCCACCCGGACCCUCCCC
rnacentral:lncRNA from 1 species